UACGAAGGGGGCUAGCGUUGCUCGGAAUUACUGGGCGUAAAGCGUGCGCAGGCGGCUUCUCAAGUCAGUGGUGAAAGCCCGGAGCUCAACUCCGGAAUUGCCAUUGAAACUGUGGAGCUUGAGGACGAGAGAGGUGAGUGGAAUUCCCAGUGUAGAGGUGAAAUUCGUAGAUAUUGGGAAGAACACCGGUGGCGAAGGCGGCUCACUGGCUCGUUUCUGACGCUCAGGCACGAUAGCGUGGGGAUCAAACAGGG
rnacentral:rRNA from 1 species